UUAUUGCUAUCUCAGUUUAGGCAAUAGUGCUAAGUGGUGUGGAUAUUAUUGGCUUUCUGUUUGAAAGUCGCAAAAUUGUGGGAUGUGUGUGGUCGGUCGCACCUUUUCCAAAUUGACAAGAAGUGCAUAUGUUAAAAUCCACUAAAAUGCUAAUAAAUCAACAAAAAUAAAAUAAAUACUAUUAUUCCCGAGCAUAAAAUAUCAUAAAAGCCUAGUGAUUGAGAAAAUUUUUUAAAAAGGCCGCAUAAAUUGUUUAAGUUCCAUGUUUGUCACAAGGGUGUAAAAAUCAAGAGUAAUUCAGAAGAACAUAAGCAGCAGGGAGAAUCUUUUAACAGUAUUUCACAAGGUAAGUUCCAUUUAGUUUCGCUAACCAUAACAGCACAUACCAAAUUUUCAAUGACAAAUCAACAAAUGGACAAACCCUCCUCCCAUAUGACAUACAUAAG